rnacentral:snRNA from 1 species
GGAUGUGAGGGCGAUCUGGCUGCAACAUCUGUCACCCAAUUGAUCGCCAGGGUUGAUUCAGCUGAUCUGGCUGGCUAGGUGGGUGUUCCCUCCCUCCCCCACCGCUCCAUGUGUGUCCCUCCCAAUGCUGCACGCUCUGCCGAAGAGGACAGCCUUCCCGGAAUAGAGACGAACUGGUCUUUGGUCGAGGGUAUACGAGUAUCUGUUCUUUCCUGCUAGAACCUCCAAAUAAGCUCUCAAGAGGCAGAAAGAGCCCUGUAGACAAUCGGCUUUUGCUAGGCCAGGGUGCACACUCCCUCCAGGGGGGGGGGGGUGAGGGU